rnacentral:sRNA from 1 species
UGGAAAGUGCUCUAAACGAUAUCCACGGA